rnacentral:rRNA from 1 species
AUUGAACGCUGGCGGCAGGCCUAACACAUGCAAGUCGAACGAGUGGCGGACGGGUGAGUAAUGUCUGGGAAACUGCCCGAUGGAGGGGGAUAACUACUGGAAACGGUAGCUAAUACCGCAUACCAUCGGAUGUGCCCAGAUGGGAUUAGCUAGUAGGUGGGGUAACGGCUCACCUAGGCGACGAUCCCUAGCUGGUCUGAGAGGAUGACCAGCCACACUUGAACUGAGACACGGUCCAGACUCCUACGGGAGGCAGCAGUGGGGAAUAUUGCACAAUGGGCUCAAGCCUGAUGCAGCCAUGCCGCGUGUAUGAAGAAGGCCUUCGGGUUGUAAAGUACUUGCAGCGAGGAGGCGUUACACACAGAAGAAGCACUGGCUUACUCCCUGCCAGCAGCCGCGGUAAUUC